CUCGUACCCUAAACCGACUCAGGUGGUCAGGUAGAGAAUACCAAGGCGAUCGGGUGAACUGUGGUUAAGGAACUCGGCAAAUUGCCCCCGUAACUUCGGGAGAAGGGGGACCUCUGCUGGUGAUGGGCUUUACGUUCUGAGCUGGUGGGGGUCGCAGUGGCCAGGGGGAAGCGACUGUUUACUAAAAACACAGGUCCGUGCGAAGUCGUAAGACGAUGUAUACGGACUGACGCCCGCCCGGUGCCGGAACGUUAAGGGGACCGCUUAGCCAGCUUCGGUUGGCGAAGGUGAGAACUUAAGCGCCGGUAAACGGCGGUGGUAACUAUAACCAUCCUAAGGUAGCGAAAUUCCUUGUCGGGUAAGUUCUGACCUGCACGAAUGGCGUAACGACUUCCCCGCUGUCUCGACCACAGACCCGGCGAAAUUGCACUACGAGUAAAGAUGCUCGUUUCGCGCAGCAGGACGGAAAGACCCCGGGACCUUCACUACAGCUUGACAUUGGCGUUUGGAACGUCUUGUGUAGGAUAGGUGGGAGACUAGGAAGCUGUCACGCUAGUGAUGGUGGAGUCAUUGGUGAAAUACCACUCUGGUCGUUUUGAACGUCUAACUCUGGUCCGUGAUCCGGAUCGGGGACAGUGUCUGGUGGGUAGUUUAACUGGGGCGGUUGCCUCCUAAAGAGUAACGGAGGCGCCCAAAGGUUCCCUCAGCCUGGUUGGCAAUCAGGUGUUGAGUGUAAGUGCACAAGGGAGCUUGACUGUGAGACUGACAGGUCGAGCAGGAGCGAAAGCUGGGACUAGUGAUCCGGCAUCGGCGUGUGGAAGCGGUGCCGCUCAACGGCUAAAAGGUACCCCGGGGAUAACAGGCUGAUCUUCCCCAAGAGUCCAUAUCGACGGGAUGGUUUGGCACCUCGAUGUCGGCUCGUCGCAUCCUGGGGCUGGAGUAGGUCCCAAGGGUUGGGCUGUUCGCCCAUUAAAGCGGUACGCGAGCUGGGUUUAGAACGUCGCGAGACAGUUCGGUCCCUAUCCGCUGCGCGCGCAGGAGACUUGAAGGGGGCUGUCCCUAGUACGAGAGGACCGGGACGGACGAACCUCUGGUGUGCCAGUUGUACCGCCAGGUGCACGGCUGGUUGGCUACGUUCGGAAGGGAUAACCGCUGAAAGCAUCUAAGCGGGAAGCUCGCCUUGAGAUGAGGUCUCCCACCCUGUGAGGGGGUAAGGCUCCCGGUAGAUCACCGGGUUGAUAGGCCGGAGGUGGAAGCACGGUAACGUGUGGAGCUGACCGGUACUAAUAGGCCGAGGACUUGAUCAA
rnacentral:rRNA from 1 species